UAACCUCUAGACAUGGUCUCUAAUCUUCUGAUUCAGUGUUUGUGUCCAGUUUACUGACCACGGCUUCCCCAAACCCCAAUCAUGUGUACCAGCAGCCAAAGAGCUUUUUGGAUCGUACAAACUGAAAAUGACAACCAAACUAAUGACAAGUCAGUUGAGAAAUUUUUAAAAGUAAACUCUAGGACUAAGAGUCUAAAUAUCUCUACAAAUACAAUAAAUUUCUCAGUUAAUGCUCCUCUCCAUUUCUGGAUAAGAGCCUUGAACAGGAGUAAGGUUUGAACAAUGUGGAUGUGUGAGCAUGUGUGUGUGUGUGUGUGUUUGUAUAUCUGCAUGGUUUAUAAUUGUGUUCCUAUUUAGGGUUUGUAUCUGACCAUUAGCAAAUUUAUUAUAAAUGCAAAACAUUCAAUAAAAUUGAACUACCUUUUUCUUUGUUUCUUUUGAUAUUAACAAGUGUUAACAUGGAUGUUUUCAUUUUAUUUCUCAUAUUUUGGGGGGAGAAUUGGUAAAUUUUUCUGACAGCCUUUGGCCCACAACCUUUUAAAGGAAUGCUAACAUUUCCUGUCUUUCUAUGUGAAUGCCACCCAUUGGCUCACCCUUCCCCUCUCCCCUCCCCAGUGUUCUGGCUAUGGUCUACACCAUAUUAAUUUCCCCCAUCCCUUCUUCCAAAUUCCAUCCCUUUCCGGCUCUUCUUUGUCAGUGCAUACAUUUUCUUCUCUGUAAACACUAGGGUUUGUUUCAUUUUUUUAAUGUCUCCAGUGAUGUGCCCUGAUUUUGUUAGGAUUUUUGUACAGAGGAGGGGUACUAAAGUGAGUAUUAGAAGUUUGCCUUCUGCAUUUGUCAUUCAAUGUCCUGCAUUAGUUCUUCCAUGAUUUCUCUUCUCGAUACAAUACAGGCAGGCAUUACUUUUGUGUCUAAAGCUUACUAAUGAUAUAUUUCAAAGUUUUGCCAUUUUCAAGCUUCUGAAGUGUGACAUUUAUGUGUGCUCAGUUGUUUGUUUUAAAACCAAUUCCACUAUCAUGUAGUAAUUAAAUCCUUUUUCCAUGUGGUUUUGUUAAGACAUGAGUCACUUAGGUUUUUUGCUAACCAUAAGAAGUCACAUUACAGGGGUCUAUAUAUUCAUCAGCUGACAAAAGUGUGAAUUGAAUUAUCCAGGAAAUGAACCCUGCGUUUUCUGUAACACAGUGCUUCAUGAUGUUAUUUCAUUGUUCAUGUCUUCUUAGUACGUUUAACGUUUUACAAUAAUGAAGUUGACUCCACCUAGUUAGUAACUGCCGAAGAACUUAUUGGAGCUAAUAAAAAUAAUAUUCACCCUAAAUGUCUAAAAAGGUAAGGAACAUAUUUUAAAGUUAAACUUCAGAACUGUUAUUGUAGUCAUUUUUCUCAAUUAAGACAAUACAUUUAUCUUUUUAUCCUAUUUCCCUUUGGGAGAAUAGUCCCCUAACAAAUGAGCUCUCAACCACAUUGAGUCGUGUGUGCAUAUGUGUGUGUGUGUGUGUGUGUGUGUGUGUGUGUGUUUGAGUUAGUUAUUAAUUUAAAAGAUGAAUUUUGUGAAAACGUUUUUCUUGAUGUUUCAUUUCUAUGACAUUGACCUUAAACUUUCCAUUUUAUUUCUCUAAAGUACCUCAGGAAAGAAAUGGUAAGUAUUCUAAAAUCUCGUUACUCAAACCUCAUUCAUGUGACUGAUUUCUCGCGGGCUUAACGUUCUAAAUCGCUUAAUCUGUAUGCUUUUCUUUGUCUUGUCUUUCUCCUGGGUGUCUGUGUUUAUUCCAAGUAAUGUUAUUUUUAAACGAUAAUUUUUAUUUCAAGAGAAUACAUUUUAAGUAUAUUUGGAUUUAAUGUUUGUUUGAAGCUGUAUAUAAGUCCAUCUGCACACAGAGUAUUGUACAAUGGUGGCUUUAGUCAAUCUAUGCUUUCUCUCUCUCUUUUGAAGUACCUCUUUUUGUGUACGAGUGUGUCUUUUCCUUUUAUUCUGGAAAAGGUUUGAGACCCAGUACACACCAGUGAUUGGCACAUUCCAUAUCCUUUAAACCAGAGGGAGUGCCAAUUCUACUGCCUUGCAUUCUGCGAUGUGCAGCUUAGCCUCCUUGCCAUUAGGAAGGAUACGAAAGUGAAAUCUCAUUUCCUUUGAAGUGAGGUGGUCUUUGAACUUGGCAGUUUUAAUUCUCAGAAGACAGUUCUCAGAAACAACUUUGGAAGUGUUUGAAAGAUUUGACCUUCUCCUUUCUGACACUGUGCCCUCCCUUUCAAUGAACUGUUUCUUUCUUUCUUUUAGUUAUGAAUAAACGUCAAGAAGAAAAGGAAAGAGAAGAGAUCAUGAGAAAGUCACAGGGGAUUCCUGUUUCAGGAAAUCCUCAGGGAAAAAAGGUAAAUUUUUUGGAAAUAUGUUAACGCACAAAUCCCUUUUACACUACCGAUUUCUCGAGGCCUUGAGAUUCCCUGUUGCUAAUUCAUACACCUUUCCUUGUUUUGUACUCCUGAAUUUCUAACUUUCUCUAAUUUUCAACAUAUAGAGUUUCAUAUCGUGUACUUAGUUUCCCUUGGUUUCUCUCUCUUGAAUCCUUUUCAAUUCUUACUUUUUCUGCUCUGUAUCAUUUUCUUCCUCUAAACACUAACAUUUUGUCUUUCUGUGACCUGUUCUGGUUUCACUAGGAAGUUGUUGAGAGGAACAGCACUCAGUUGGAAGGCACACUGUUUCCACUCUGUAUAUUUUUCCAGGACACCGCAAGAUGGGAACUCUAUCACAUAUUUCAGGUUCAAGGGCUCAUUCUGAUGCCAAUGAAACUUUCCCAAAUGAAUAGAGAUUUCCCAAACUAAUUUCAAAGCCUAUGAAAUUUAUGCUCUCAUUGACCAGUCAAUGCAAAUUCAAGGCUUAUUCUCCAACUGUGACAGAAUUUUGAUUGCCCAAAGAAUCCCAGGUAUGAAAAUAUGUCCCAUGAAUAUUCUCAGAAUAUUUUCUCACUGCAGAAAUUAUUGUGUUUUUGUCAUUUUCAAUAUCACAUUUACUGUUUACAUAAACUGCAAUUCCUAUUAAAUAUGUGUGGAAGGACUUUAAAUCACAGGGAAUGUUCAAUUAUUGUACAUCUCUCAAUUCUCAAUUUUUCAGGUGAAAUACAUGGGCAACAAUAACCAUGGGUUUUGUCAAAUACAUUUCUUACACACACAUAUAAUUCAUAGCAAGUCAGUAACCUCUUAGUCAUCAUUUUGCAAUGACAAUUUUUAAUUCAAAGAGAAUUCAUCUUACAAACAUACUGAUUUAAUAUAUAUAGAAUAUAUGAUUACUGCUACAGAAGAGUUGGAGACAGAUACAUAACUUUAUUUUGUCCUUUUCAUCUCUUUUCAAAUAUCUCUCUUGUGAAUAAGUGCGUGUUUUCAUUUUAUGAUGAAAAAUGUCGGAGGAAAAAUGCAAAAGCAGAAUCAGUGAUUGAUAUAUUUUGUAUCCCAGAGGGAUAGGUAGCACUCCAUUCUACUUCCUUGCAUCGGUGUAUUGCCAGUCUUGUUCUCUUUCAUCAAAGGGGUGUAAGGAAGUUAAAAAAACUCACAUAUUUCUGAUUGUUUACCCAAUUUCUACCUUGUCGUUGCUCUGAGUGUUGGCAUCUUCCUUUGCUCUUCAGUGAUCUCACAUUGUUGCUUCUUGGAUUUGUCGUUUGAUUGCAAUCUAUGCAGAUAUUCCUUUUGAGCCACAUAAGCUUUAUUAAACACACGCAUCUGAAAUAUUGGCAUUUUCACUAAUAAUGUGAAAGUUUUGUUCAAGAUAUGUCAGGUGAUUUGAUUUAGACAAUUUCACUGCCAUGUGACACUUCCUGCCCUUCUUUUCAUGGAAUUUGAUUAAGAAGAACAUUAGUUAGGCAUUGAUC
rnacentral:lncRNA from 1 species